UCGUUCUAGGAGGCCUUGCCGUGCGCUGUCCAUGUGUGUCAACAACCUCUGACCACUGCCAGCUCACUUGCCCCCCUUUUGCUCUCUUGCACCAAGGUCGGUUUAGUCAUUAAUGGAAACAAAGCGGGGCUCGAACCCACAACGCAGAGCAGGCCUUGCGUCCCGCUUUUGUGCCACAAGAGGAAAAGCAGAGACAAGAUCCAGGGCUGGCAUCUUGCUUCUUUUCCCUGGAGGGCUUGAGUGAAUUCUGGACCGUGGCUGAUAGAAGAGGGUCUUGCAGCUCAGAAAGACAAUGGGAUUUGUAGUCUUCUUCCUGCUGUGUGCCUUUAUGUUCCCUGAAGGCCAACGGUGCGAUACAAACAACUGUGUCUCUUUCCUGAAGCGGGACAUUUUGGACUUAAUGGUGAGAUGGGAAGAAGGGGACUGCCUCCAAAGGGACCCAGGGCUGCCCCCCGCUUUCCCCCAAACGCUGCCCCGAAGCUGCAAGGAAAUCAAAGCGUCCCUGGAAGGAGCCCCAGACGGCUUGUACUAUUUGGCCACGGACGAUGGCGAGGUCUACCAAACCUUCUGCGACAUGACCACCGACGGAGGCGGAUGGACUCUGGUGGCCAGCGUCCAUGAGAACAACAUCCAUGGAAAAUGCAGCGAAGGAGACCGCUGGUCCAGCCAGCAAGGGAAUGACAAAAGGUGGCCCGGCGGAGACGGAAACUGGUCCAACAACGCCACUUUCGGCUCCGCAAUGGCGGCCACAAGCGACGACUACAAGAACCCUGGCUAUUACGACCUGGAAGCCCGGGAUCUGGGCAUCUGGCACGUGCCCAACGACACCCCGAUGAAGGAAUGGGCCAGCGCCGCUUUCUUGAGAUAUCACACCGAAACGGGGUUCCUGGCUGCGGAAGGGGGCAACCUUCUCAGGCUCUUCCAAAAAUACCCGGUCAAGUUUGGCAUCGGCAGCUGUCCAGACGACAACGGUCCGGCCGUGGCGGUCAUCUAUGACACUGGCAGUGCCCAGCAGACCUCUGUCCACUACGCCCCCAAUUCCCAAGCUCACCUCGAACCCGGCUUCAUUCAGUUCCGGGUGUUUAAUAAUGAGAAGGCAGCCCUGGCUCUAUGCGCCGGAGUCCAAGUCACCAGAUGCGACAAUGAACAUAUCUGUGUCGGCGGAGGCGGCUAUUUCCCCGAAGGCAGCCCUCGCCAAUGUGGGGACUAUGCAGCCUUUGACUGGAACGGAUACGGGUCUCACACCGGAUGGAGCGUCUCCAAACAGUUGUUGGAAUCGGCCAUCUUGCUCUUUUACCACUGAAGCUUGCAGGCAAACCGGCCCUUGGAAACGUCAAACAACUUCCCUUCCCCUUUGGGCAUAAAACAACCAGAACAUUGUGCCAUACUUUCCAUUUCAUUUAUCCGUUUCUCUCUCUUCCUUUUACCAUUUAUACUGGGACCAUUUACUCUGGAACCAUUGCACACUGGGACCAUUUACAAUGGGAUCAUUGCACACUGGGACCAUUUCAUGCUGGGACCAUUGCACACUGGGACCAUUUACUCUGGGACCAUUGCACACUGGGACAUCACUAAGUCUGCAUCAAGCUCCAUAGUGUAAAGCUUGCACCUUGUUUUAAUUUGGGAGGAAGAAGGCAGGAUAGGCAUUAAAAGAAACACAUAAAUUGGA